UACAUACUCCCUCCAUUCGGAAUUACUCGUCCAAGAAAUGAAUGUAUCUAGAUGUAUUUUAGUUGUAGAUACAUCCAUUUUUGUGACAAGUAAUUCCAAACGGAGGGAGUACUAU
rnacentral:pre_miRNA from 1 species